rnacentral:tRNA from 1 species
GCCUGGGUGGCUCAGUCGGUUAAGCGGCCGACUUCGGCUCGGGUCAUGAUCUCCCGGUCCGUGAGUUCAAAUCCCGCGUCAGGCU